GCACGAACCCGCAUCCCACGCAUCGGUAGGCGGACUCUCAACCACUGCGCCACCAGGGAAGCCCGAGAUAUUCUAAUUUUUAAAGGAAUGAGGACAUUGGAAGGCUUAUUCUAAAAUCUCUGUUGAACUAAAUGCUACUCAUCUUGAUCUCCAGGCAGCUCUCACUGAUGUUGAAAAGAAAGACAUUUGCAGAUCUGGAGCUAUGGCUUAUCUUCAAGAUAAAAAGAUGUAAAAAUGAAGAAUUAAACAGUUAACAAAUGACUAGCUCUCUACCCCCAACAGCCCCCUUAAGCAAUCCUGCAGGUAGAUCACGCAGGCAAGAUCACAUCUGAAGAAAGAGUCAGCCAGUCCACCU